AGAGUUUGAUCCUGGCUCAGGACGAACGCUGGCGGCGUGCUUAACACAUGCAAGUCGAACGGAAAGGCCUCUUCGGAGGCACUCGAGUGGCGAACGGGUGAGUAACACGUGGGUAAUCUGCCCUGCACUUCGGGAUAAGCCUGGGAAACUGGGUCUAAUACCGGAUAGGACCAUUUGGCGCAUGCCUCAUGGUGGAAAGC
rnacentral:rRNA from 1 species